UGUCGGUACGUGGCGUGGUACGUUGCACGGUCACAUAGAUUCGCCUUUGAGAAUAGCCGUGAAGUGUUUUAUGAUCGAAAUGUCAAAUUAAAUAUAGGUUAACUCGGUCAGUGCAUCGUGGACGCAUAAUUGAGUAUUUUAUCGUGUAUGUUUGAAAUGCAAGAUAUUUCCUUUAUUGAAGCGUUAUUUAUUAAUUGCUUUUAUAUUUAGUGCGAAAUCAGUUGUAGAAAUUAGUUAAACAGUCAGUUGGAAAAGUAUUUAAUAUGAAACCGACAAACAAUUGUAUAGGCCGCCUUCAAUGCAAAGUCUGUUCAUGUAUUGUGAUAAUUGAUUUGUCAUGUAAUAAUUGAAAUUUCUAACACACCAGUCAGAAACAUAACCUCAAUUCAGUGAUAUAUGAAUAAAGAGAAAGAAAAUUAUAGUGCUGAUAACACCUACGAAAAUGAAUUUCAAGCUAGGGAAAUUUUCUCCAAUAGAGAAGAUAAAUACAAAGUUAGAUAAUAUAUUAGAAAUUAUUAAUCCUUUGUCACCAAAAAAAAACAAGCAAGGCUUAAAAACAUGCAAGAAGAAAAAUAAGGACACAUAUCGAUAAAUAAGAACACAUAUUAAGAUUAAGUGUUGAAAAGAAAAUGAAUUGUGGAGUAUUUCUUAAGUGAUGAUAUUGUAUUACAGAAUAGGAAAUUCACAUAUUUAAUACGAAACCAGGAAAAUAUAUAGGUCAUGUGCAAUGCAAAUUCUGUUUAUGUAUUGUGAUAAUUGAUUUUUCACAUAUUUAUUGAAAUUUCUGACAGACCAGUCAAAAAUCACAUAACCUCAGUGAUAUGAUACGAAUAUUAGAGAGAAAGAGUGCUCAUAACCCCUAUGGGUUAUGUCAAAAUGGAAUUCAAACUAGGGAAAAUUACUCUAAUCAAGAAGAUAAAUUAUCACCAAAGAAACAUGCAAGAAGGAAAACAAAGAAUGCACUGGAUAUCACACAUUAUAUGGAUUAAGUGUUGAAGAGAACAUGAAUUGUUGAGUAUUUCGAGUCUGAUGAUCUUGCAUUACAGAAUUGGUAUAUUAAGGUAAUUCAGAUCUUGAAAAUUAAUAGGAUAAAAUCAAUGCAAGAAAAUUGAGUGUGUGUUCAUGGAAUAAUUAUCUCUGUCAUAUGAUCGUAGGAACUACAUAGUCAUUAACUUCAAAUAAUGAGUAUGUUUAGAGAUACAUUAACAGAUGCAAGUGAGUUGAACAUAUUUAACGCAAGACUUAACUUUGCCAAGUCUGAUUUAACUGAAGUUGCCAAGAGAGUUAAACAUAAUACAUAUUAUGAAUAAAUAAAUAAUUAUUUUUAUAGGC